AAAAAAAGAAAAAAGAAAAAAGAAAAAAGUCGAUUCAUGAUUCUAUUCACGCUUGACAACUAUGUUCCUAGCACACCGAACACUGCUCCCUCUCUCUAAUAGGGAGAGUAUUUCACGGCUUAACCUCUCGAUUCUUCAGCUAUCGAACUCCUUUCCCUCUAUGGGACUCUAAUAUCAGAAUUUGGGUUAGAAGAAUCAGAGCCAUUCAUCUUGCGUAGUGUACGUGGGGGCUCUAAUGGGGUUUUUCUUUUUUGGUUGUAAUUUCCGUUCUGGGUCUUUCAUUCUCUGUAUUGAAUAAAUUCAUUAUAUGGGUUUUUCGAAAAUUUGGAUUUUGAAUUUGUACUUUUUAGAUUGAAAGAUUUUUAUUCCAUUAUCUCUUUUUCUGUUUAAUCAGCAUGUGGGGUUUUAAUUUGAUGUUGUGUUUGGGGAUUAAUAAUGGGAGAUGUGUAAUAUGUUUUUGCAUUCAGUUCUGAGAGAUUAUCUUAGAUUUUGAAAUGCAAUAUUUGAUGGAUUCUUUUUGUGGGAAUUGGAUUUCAUUAGUGUGUAAUAUGCUUUGGUUUUUACUAA